rnacentral:rRNA from 1 species
UGGGGAAUAUUGGACAAUGGGCGAAAGCCUGAUCCAGCAAUGCCGCGUGGAUGAAGAAGGUCUUCGGAUUGUAAAGUCCUUUCGGCGGGGACGAUGAUGACGGUACCCGCAGAAGAAGCCCCGGCUAACUUCGUGCCAGCAGCCGCGGUAAUACGAAGGGGGCUAGCGUUGCUCGGAAUUACUGGGCGUAAAGGGCGCGUAGGCGGAAAUCUCAGUCAGGCGUGAAAGCCCCGGGCUCAACCUGGGAAUUGCGCUUGAGACGGGGUUUCUUGAGGGCGAGAGAGGGUGGUGGAAUUCCCAGUGUAGAGGUGAAAUUCGUAGAUAUUGGGAAGAACACCGGUGGCGAAGGCGGCCACCUGGCUCGCACCUGACGCUGAGGCGCGAAAGCGUGGGGAGCAAACAGG